rnacentral:lncRNA from 1 species
AAAAAAAAAAAAAAGAUUUUGUUUGAUUAGAUCAAUUAGAUCUAUUUUUAAUGAUGUAAAACGAAGCACGAGGUGAUUUUUGGGUUUAGAAAAUUUUAAUUGUAUUAUUUUUUUUCGCUGCGUAUGCCUGAUUUUCUUACAGUAGUAUCAUAGCCACCCUUGUCGUUUGUUUUACAUCUAAUCUUUUUUUCGAUGUUGGUUGAAUUUUCGGAUUGAUUGAAAUCAAAACGAUGAAAAAUAUUUUUCGAAAAAUUUUAAUUGUUUUGA